rnacentral:rRNA from 1 species
UGGUGGAGUGAUUUGUCUGGUUGAUUCCGUUAACGAACGAGAUCUCGACCCUUAAAUAGGUUUGCUCGUUGCUUCGGGUCGUGCUCUGUACUUGUACGGUAGCACUUCCUCAAACAGGGUAACAACUUCUUAAGGGGACUGCGUGCGCUUCCUUAGCACGCGGAAGAGCGAGCCAAUAGCA